UACGUAGGUGGCGAGCGUUGUCCGGAUUUACUGGGCGUAAAGAGCGCGCAGGCGGUCGUGCAAGUCGCGUGUGAAAGCCCCCGGCUCAACUGGGGAGGGUCACGCGAUACUGAUCGACUCGAAGGCAGGAGAGGGUAGUGGAAUUCCCGGUGUAGUGGUGAAAUGCGUAGAUAUCGGGAGGAACACCAGUGGCGAAGGCGACUACCUGGCCUGUUCUUGACGCUGAGGCGCGAAAGCUAGGGUAGCAAACGGG
rnacentral:rRNA from 1 species